rnacentral:pre_miRNA from 1 species
UGUCUUAAAUUUGUCUAAAUACGGAUGUAUCAAGUCACAUUUUAGUAUUAGAUACAUCCGUAUCUAGACGAAUCUAAGACAAGAAUUUUGGGACGGAGGGAGUAUGCC